CCUACGGGGGGCAGCAAUUAGGAAUCUUGCGCAAUGGGCGAAAGCCUGACGCAGCGACGCCGCGUGGAGGAUGAAGUCCUUUGGGACGUAAACUUCUUUUGUGAGGGACGAAGUGCGUGACGGUACCUCACGAAUAAGCCCCGGCUAACUACGUGCCAGCAGCCGCGGUAACACGUAGGGGGCGGGCGUUGUCCGAAUUUACUGGGCGUAAAGCGCGCGUAGGCGGGCCGAUAAGUGGGAAGUGAAAGGCUUGGGCUCAACCCAAGAAGUGCUUCUCAGACUGUCGGUCUUGAGGGCGGUAGGGAGAAGUGAAAUGGCUGGUGUAGCGGUGAAAUGCGUAGAUAUCAGUCGGAACACCGGUGGCGAAGGCGGCUUCUGGGGCCGUUCCUGACGCUGAGGCGCGAAAGCCAGGGGAGCGAACGGGAUUAGAUACCCCUGUAGU
rnacentral:rRNA from 1 species